UGCAAGUCGUACGAUGAUGCCCAGCUUGCUGGGCGGAUUAGUGGCGAACGGGUGAGUAAUACGUGAGUAACCUGCCCUUGACUCUGGGAUAAGCCUGGGAAACUGGGUCUAAUACUGGAUACUACCUCUUACCGCAUGGUGGGUGGUGGAAAGGGUUUUACUGGUUUUGGAUGGGCUCACGGCCUAUCAGCUUGUUGGUGGGGUAAUGGCUCACCAAGGCGACGACGGGUAGCCGGCCUGAGAGGGUGACCGGCCACACUGGGACUGAGACACGGCCCAGACUCCUACGGGAGGCAGCAGUGGGGAAUAUUGCACAAUGGGCGGAAGCCUGAUGCAGCGACGCCGCGUGAGGGAUGACGGCCUUCGGGUUGUAAACCUCUUUCAGUAGGGAAGAAGCGAGAGUGACGGUACCUGCAGAAGAAGCGCCGGCUAACUACGUGCCAGCAGCCGCGGUAAUACGUAGGGCGCAAGCGUUGUCCGGAAUUAUUGGGCGUAAAGAGCUCGUAGGCGGUUUGUCGCGUCUGCUGUGAAAGCCCGGGGCUCAACCCCGGGUCUGCAGUGGGUACGGGCAGACUAGAGUGCAGUAGGGGAGACUGGAAUUCCUGGUGUAGCGGUGAAAUGCGCAGAUAUCAGGAGGAACACCGAUGGCGAAGGCAGGUCUCUGGGCUGUUACUGACGCUGAGGAGCG
rnacentral:rRNA from 1 species